UGGCAAGUAUCAUCCGAUUCAUGACCAAGUAGAGCGCACCGCCGAGUAUGAGUUCGCCAAUACCUAUGAGGACGGCUAGCAGCCAGCCGGGUAUAGCCAUGCCAGCUAAAAAGUAAAAAAAUAUUCAUUUUUGAACAGUUUAGAUAGAAGAACGGGCAAUUGUUGUACAUUUAAUGAACCAAAUCUUCUUCUUAUGCUCAACUUACUAAAGUAGCGGCGUGUGAGUGUCCUACGUCCGCGCAUCACACGCCUGGUCGCCUCGGAUUCCUGUGUGCAGAAAGCAAGCAGAACU
rnacentral:lncRNA from 1 species